GCAGAAACUAUUUCACCCAUGAAGGAGUACAUGGACAACAUACCAACAGAGCUGGAGGAGUGUCAGGAAAAAGCAGAACUGAUCUCUGACUGUGCUUCAGCCGUUCAUGAGGAUGGUGGGAUUAAAGAUGAAGACACACCAGCAUCAGAAGCCAAUGGCCUGACAUCAUUUAAAGG